CAACAGGGAUUGCCUCAGUAACGGCGAGUGAAGCGGCAACAGCUCAAAUUUGAAAUCUGGCCCUCUCAGGGUCCGAGUUGUAAUUUGGAGAAGAUGCUUCGGGUGUGGCCCCGGUCUAAGUUCCUUGGAACAGGACGUCACAGAGGGUGAGAAUCCCGUACGUGACCGGUGGCCUCCCCCGUGUGAAGCUCUUUCGACGAGUCGAGUUGUUUGGGAAUGCAGCUCAAAAUGGGUGGUAAAUUUCAUCUAAAGCUAAAUAUUGGCCAGAGACCGAUAGCGCACAAGUAGAGUGAUCGAAAGAUGAAAAGCACUUUGGAAAGAGAGUUAAACAGUACGUGAAAUUGUUGAAAGGGAAGCGCUUGCAACCAGACUUGCGCGCGGCCGAUCAUCUGGUGUUCUCACCGGUGCACUCGGCCGCGCUCAGGCCAGCAUCGGUUUGGGUGGCUGGAUAAAGGCCUCGGGAAUGUGGCUCUCUUCGGGGAGUGUUAUAGCCCGAGGUGCAAUGCAGCCUACCCGGACCGAGGACCGCGCUUCGGCUAGGAUGCUGGCGUAAUGGUUGUAAGCGACCCGUCUUGAAACACGGACCAAGGAGUCUAACAUCUAUGCGAGUGUUUGGGUGUCAAACCCAUACGCGUAAUGAAAGUGAACGGAGGUGAGAACCCUUAAGGGUGCAUCAUCGACCGAUCCUGAUGUCUUCGGAUGGAUUUGAGUAAGAGCAUAGCUGUUGGGACCCGAAAGAUGGUGAACUAUGCCUGAAUAGGGUGAAGCCAGAGGAAACUCUGGUGGAGGCUCGCAGCGGUUCUGACGUGCAAAUCGAUCGUCAAUUUGGGCAUAGGGGCGAAAGACUAAUCGAACAUCUAGUAGCUGUCUGCGU
rnacentral:rRNA from 1 species